CUCCCCUGAUCCCCUCACUCUCUCCACUCCCAGACUCCCAGUCCACUCACGAUGCCAGAUCUCGGCGAGUCACCCAUUCCACGCCCUCCGCUCUCGCCCCCACAGCCGGCGACCUCGUCUCGCACCGCCGCCUCCUCUCAUCCCCUCCCCAGCUCCCCUCCACUCAUCCGACGGCGGCUAGAUGCGCACACAACCGGCGACCAACAUCACACAAAGGUCGCCACCGCCGGCGGUGGAAGGACAGUCUUCUCCUGCCGCUAGCCGCAGCCUCCGCCUCGCCCUGAUCCUCGGCAUCCUCGACCGCCACUCGCUCUCCUCGAAAGCACCUCGCCGCCUCCCUGCCCAUGCCGUGUUCGCCGACUGCCCUGCUCGCGCCGACCUCGCCAAUCUCGCGGCCGCGCUUGGCAGUGCUCGACUUGUCCUCGCCGCCGCCAGCGGCGACGGGUCCUUCCUGUGCCUCUGCCGCCUCGUGGCCGAGUCCUCCUCUCCCCAAAUCGACACCCGCCCCCUUUGUCGAGCCUGCCGUGCUAGCGACAUGAGCAGGAUGGUGUACACCGGCUUCACAGACAUGUGGCCGUCGAGGCUUCGGAUGAGGUCGACGCGGAUGAGAACAGUCCAUAGAGCCGUACCAGGCAGAACAAGCUGUUCCACGCAUGGGGUCUGAUUACAAUAUUUUCGGAGAUGCAUAAUAUGCCAAACACUUCUAAAGGUGCCUCGUCCAUGGGCGCAUGAUAGUGGAAAAACAUCUGUAAAUUGUGCAGGAUCCUAUAGAGCAAAUGGGCAUCAUCGACGUGCAGUACACGCUCUCUUAGGCAGAUAAGUAACCUCAGACAACUUAUUUUGCGAAGAUCGGUGGUUCAUGGUCUGAAAGUUUUGUUUUUCUCUCUAAAUUUUGUACUUAGAUAAUCCCUUAAAUGCUUUUUACUGCUUGAUCACAUAAUACAUGUCCGUGCAAGAAAGGAGUUGUUAACUGAAACAAUAAUGUUAAUUUUUGUUGUUAACUGAAACAAUAAUGUUAAUUUAUGUUAACUACAAACUGUCUUGGACAUUGGUUUUUUCAAAUUAACUCCGUGUUGAACUGGUUCUUCUUGUUGUGUGCUGCAGCCCAGCAAUCUGUUCAUGCCAAAUGAUUGAGUCCUGGUGAGGUUCAUUGCUGGACAUGCACGGUCUCCGCAGGCAAGGAACACAUAAAAGUAAAUCAGCGUGUUAUCAGAAACUCAUGAGCAUGAAAGAGAAAUUUGGAUCAUGUGCGAACAUGGGUAGAGAGCAGAUCGAGGAGAACUUGAAGAUUAAAGGCAAUGAAAGGUUCCGUAAAAUGGCAGCGGGUAGAGUUCUUGUCCUGCACAAAGGAAGGUUACUUUGGUAGAACGUCAGAAAAAUUAUAGCCGGGGUUAGGAUACCUCUCGAGAAGCAUAUAUGCCUCGCUAGCACACAAGAACAGUCAGGACCAUGUACGAAUCGGACGAACAGUUGGGGCUAUGUCACACCACCAAUCGAACAGUUCCGCGCCGGGACCCGUGUCUCGCUCGCAGCCGCGCCGGCACCCGUGGAUCGCUGGAAGCCUCGCCGGCACCCGUGUCUCGCUGGCAGCCGCGCCGGCACGGGGGGCAAAGUUUGAAGAAACAGGCCUCGCACACCUGAUCCGACGGCAAACUUUGAAGAAACAGUUCAAAUCCACAUGAUCCGAACGCAAACCUGGAAGCGUGGAGAAUCAGGCCUUGACUGCCCCACUCGAAAGAUAGGAUUUGAAAAUUAUUUGUUGUAUAUGGAAAGAGCAAAAAUAUUAGAUUAAACUGUUGUUUAUGGAAGCUUCUCAUGACGGAAUUUUCCAAUAUGAUUCCAUAUGAUUUGAUUUGAUUGGUGUCGUAAAUUGAAGGGAAGGAUGGAAGGUUUGUUGUUU